UGGGGCCGGGGCCGGGGUGGGGUGCUGACCCCCGAGGGCAGAAACGGGCUGGGUCUCCGGCUUCAGGGUACGGGGUCCAGACCUCGCCGAGACCGGCUCGGGGCUGGCGGAGCCCGGGGAGCGGCUCAGCUGUGUCAGCUAUAGUCUAGAGCUCCUGGGGGCAUCACCAGACUCUCCAGGAACAGACUCCCCCAUCACACACAUCCACCCGCCAGCCUAGGAGGAUAUAAUCAGUGGUUAAGAAUCCACCUGCCAAUGAAGGGAACACGGGUUCGAGCCCUGGG